UGACCUCAGCUCAGUCGUGAUUACCCGCUGAACUUAAGCAUAUC
rnacentral:rRNA from 1 species